AGCAUAUUCUCAAGUAGUUUCAUGAUAAAGGAUGUAUGAGAGAUCAACCCUUUAUCAUGAAACGCUUGAGGAUACGCU
ensembl:miRNA